AUGCUAGUAGGCCGGGGAGAGAGUGUGGCAAGGGUUGCAUGUGAGUGGCCCUGGGUCUCAUCCUCCUUGCAGCAGCACAAACGGACUCUUCAGAGGCGUCUUCAGAGGAGUUUGUCAGGUGGGAGAAAGAAAGGUAUGAUGUGGUUUGGUCUGGCAGAGCUUGGAGGUCUGGCCAGAGCUUGGGAUAUGAGUGGAAGCAGGGAGACCUGGAGCAGACUGGUCACCUCUUCAAGGCCCCACCACCCAGAAGCAAGAGCUAACACAGAUGAGAUGACGGCUCAACUCCAGGCAUCCAGGGGGAGCUUGUGCCCACUUGGCAAACAGAACUCAAGAAUCCAGCUGUGUGAGGGGUCCUGCCACACCCAGGCAUCGCCCUCCUUACCCCAAAUUGAGUACCAGAAUUAAGAAGAAGCACAGGCCAUGGAAUGAUACAGCAGACUCAAUAUAAAUAAAAUAUUCAUAUAAAAAUAGUCUCUUACA
rnacentral:lncRNA from 13 species